rnacentral:rRNA from 1 species
UACGUAGGGUGCAAGCGUUAAUCGGAAUUACUGGGCGUAAAGCGUGCGCAGGCGGUUUUGUAAGUCAGAUGUGAAAUCCCCGAGCUCAACUUGGGAACUGCGUUUGAAACUACAAGACUAGAAUAUGUCAGAGGGGGGUAGAAUUCCACGUGUAGCAGUGAAAUGCGUAGAGAUGUGGAGGAAUACCAAUGGCGAAGGCAGCCCCCUGGGAUAAUAUUGACGCUCAUGCACGAAAGCGUGGGGAGCAAACAGGAUUAGAUACCCUGGUAGUCCACGCCCUAAACGAUGUCUACUAGUUGUUGGUGGAGUAAAAUCCAUGAGUAACGCAGCUAACGCGUGAAGUAGACCGCCUGGGGAGUACGGUCGCAAGAUUAAA